rnacentral:tRNA from 2 species
GGGUCGGUGUCCGAGUGGUUAAAGGAGACGGACUGUAAAUCCGUUGGCUCUGCCUACGUUGGUUCAAAUCCAACCCGGCCCA